UACGGAGGAUGCGAGCGUUAUCCGGAUUUAUUGGGUUUAAAGGGAGCGUAGACGGGAUGUUAAGUCAGCUGUGAAAGUUUGGGGCUCAACCUUAAAAUUGCAGUUGAAACUGGCAUUCUUGAGUGCGGCAGAGGCAGGCGGAAUUCGUGGUGUAGCGGUGAAAUGCUUAGAUAUCACGAAGAACUCCGAUUGCGAAGGCAGCUUGCUGGACGAUAACUGACGUUGAGGCUCGAAAGCGUGGGGAGCAAACAGG
rnacentral:rRNA from 1 species